CUGGACUAGACAACAGUGGACCGUCCUAGAAAUAGGAUUUUCCCUUCGGGGACCGCUGGUUCAGGUGCUGCAUGGCUGUCGUCAGCUCGUGCCGUGAGGUGUUGGGUUAAGUCCCGCAACGAGCGCAACCCUCGUACUUAGUUGCCACCAUUAAGUUGGGCACUCUAGGUAGACUGCCGGCGUUAAGCCGGAGGAAGGUGGGGACGACGUCAAGUCAUCAUGGCCCUUAUGUCCAGGGCCACACACGUGCUUCAAUGGGCGGCACAAAGGGUCGCGAACCCGCGAGGGGGAGCCAAUCCCAAAAAGCCGCUCUCAGUUCGGAUUGGAGUCUGCAACUCGACUCCAUGAAGUUGGAAUCGCUAGUAAUCGCGGAUCAGCACGCCGCGGUGAAUACGUUCCC
rnacentral:rRNA from 1 species